rnacentral:rRNA from 1 species
CCUACGGGUGACAGCAGUGAGGAAUAUUGGUCAAUGGGCGUAAGCCUGAACCAGCCAAGUCGCGUGAGGGAUGAAGGUCCUAUGGAUUGUAAACCUCUUUUAUAAGGGAAUAAAGUGCGGGACGUGUGCCGUUUUGUAUGUACCUUAUGAAUAAGGAUCGGCUAACUCCGUGCCAGCAGCCGCGGUAAUACGGGGGAUGCAAGCGUUAUCCGGAUUUAUUGGGGUUAAAGGGUGCGUAGGCGGGGAGGUAAGUCAGCGGUGAAAGGCCCCCGCUCACCGGGGGGACGGGCCAUUGAUACGGCCUUGCUUGACUGCGGCUGCCGUGGGCGGCAUGUGUGGUGUAGCGGUGAAAUGCAUAGAUAUCACGCAGAACUCCGAUUGCGACGGCAUCUCACGAAUCCGC